CCCUUAGAUGUUCUGGGCCGCACGCGCGCUACACUGAUUCAUGCAACAAGUUUUGUCCUUGGCUGAUAGGCCUGGGUAAUCUUUGAACGUGAAUCGUGAUGGGGAUAGAUGAUUGCAAUUAUUCAUCUUCAACGAGGAAUUCCUAGUAAACGCAAGUCAUCAGCUUGCAUUGAUUACGUCCCUGCCCUUUGUACACACCGCCCGUCGCACCUACCGAUUGAAUGGUCCGGUGAAAUCUCGGGACGGCGGCUUGGUCGCUUGCGUCCGACUGCUGAAACUUGAUUAAACCAUNUNAUUUAGNGGAAGGUGAANUCGUANCA
rnacentral:rRNA from 1 species